rnacentral:rRNA from 1 species
UCUUUUCCUUUUUUUCCCUUCGCCGCGGUAAUACGGAGGAUGCGAGCGUUAUCCGGAUUUAUUGGGUUUAAAGGGAGCGCAGACGGGUCGUUAAGUCAGCUGUGAAAGUUUGGGGCUCAACCUUAAAAUUGCAGUUGAUACUGGCGUCCUUGAGUGCGGUUGAGGUGUGCGGAAUUCGUGGUGUAGCGGUGAAAUGCUUAGAUAUCACGAAGAACUCCGAUUGCGAAGGCAGCACACUAAUCCGUAACUGACGUUCAUGCUCGAAAGUGUGGGUAUCAAACAGG